rnacentral:snRNA from 1 species
AGAUGUGAGGGCGAUCUGGCUAUGGCAUUGGUCAGCCCAUUGGUCAUCAGGGUUGACUUAGCUGAUCUGGAUGGCUAGGUGGGUGUCCUCUUCCUCCCUCAUCACUCCAUGUGCAUCCCUUCAGGGGCUGCAUGCUCAUUUAGAGAGGACGACCUUCCCAUGUAAAGGAUGGCUGGUCUUCAGUCAAGGGUAUAUAAGUAGCUGCGAUACCCUGCUAGAACCUCCAAAUAAGCUCUCAGAGUUCCCAAUCCAUAAAAAUGAUUAAUGCCUGAAGACAUGGAAAUGGUUAUUUCUCUGACUUUAUAAAUAUACACUGGGAAUAUAUAGAAGGGCCAUAUAACCCAUAAUGU